CUCCCUUCGGGGAGUGGAGAGCGGCGGAAGGGACAGUAACACGUAGAUUACGUAUCCUCGGGUCCGGGAUAACUGUGCGAAAGCACUUGUAAUACCGGAUAACAUCUUCGGAUCAAAGGUGUGAUUCCGCCUGAGGAGCGGUCUGCGUCCUAUUAGUUUGUUGGUGGGGUAAUGGCCUACCAAGGCUUUGAUGGGUAGCGGGUGUGAGAGCAUGACCCGCGUCACUGGGACUGAGACACUGCCCAGACACCUACGGGUGGCUGCAGUCGAGAAUCUUCGGCAAUGGACGAAAGUCUGACCGAGCGACGCCGCGUGCGGGAUGAAGGCCUUCGGGUUGUAAACCGCUGUCAGUGGGGAGGAAGGCUGCGUGAAGAGCGCAGUUUGACCUAUCUUCAGAGGAAGGACGGGCUAAGUUCGUGCCAGCAGCCGCGGUAAGACGAACCGUCCAAACGUUAUUCGGAAUUACUGGGCUUAAAGGGUGCGUAGGCGGUGUUACAAGUCGGGUGUGAAAUCCCUCAGCUUAACUGAGGAACUGCGCCCGAUACUGUAGUGCUAGAGGGAGGCAGGGGUGAGCGGAACUGAUGGUGGAGCGGUGAAAUGUGUUGAUAUCAUCAGGAACACCGGUGGCGAAGGCGGCUCACUGGGCCUUUACUGACGCUGAGGCACGAAAGCUAGGGGAGCAAACGGGAUUAGAUACCCCGGUAGUCCUAGCUGUAAACGA
rnacentral:rRNA from 1 species